rnacentral:lncRNA from 13 species
AGAUCAUAAGUUCACCAUCUGUUUGAUGUUCUCGUUCACACAGGAGAGAGACAUGACUAUGCUGGAUCCUCUGGGGAGCCUCAACAACAUCCUGAUGCUGACGAGGCAGAGAGGAGUCUCUCCAGAUCAGAACAUCAGAUGGACAAAGCUAGCCCUUCCUCCCACCCAGAGUCCCCGUGUCGUGCCUCUNNNNNNNNNNAACCAUGGCAAGGUGACUGGGAACGAAUACGAACAGUGUAGUUAUUCCCUCAAACAGGCAAAACGUCAGUAUAGAGACAAAGUGGAGACGCAAUUCAUCAGCUCAGACACAAGGGGGACACGAGACGUAUGUGGGUCUACAGACAAGCACAGACUACAAAGGGAAAACCAGCCACGUCGCGGAUACCGGCGUCUUGCUUCCGGACAAGCUAAACACCUUCUUCGCCCGCUAUGAGGAUAACACAGUGCUACCAAGGACUGUGGAGAUCUCCUUCUCCGUGGCUGACGUGAGUAAGACAUGUAANNNNNNNNNNUGGGAUGAGUUGGACCGCAGAGUGAAGGAAAAGCAGCCAACAAAUGCUCAGAAUAUGUGGGAACUCCUACAAGACUGUUGGAAAAGCAUUCCAGGUGAAGCUGGUUGAGAGAAUGCCAAGCUGUCAUCAAGGCAAAGGGUGGCUACUUUGAAGAAUCUAAUAUAUAUUUAGAUUUGUUUAACACUUUUUGGUUACUACAUGAUUCCAUAUUGUUUUUUCCUAGUUUUGAUGUCUUCACUAUUAUUCCACAAUGNNNNNNNNNNUAUGUUUAAGGAAGUGUGUAGGUCACAUUCUGUAUCAUACAGCUAUGAAUGUUAUAUAUUUAGAACCACCUGCUUGAUAGGAAUCCAGCGAUGUCCGUGUCAUAGGACUGUCUAGUGUUUUGUGUUCUGACUUGUAAAACAGAAUUAAAAAUAAGUAAUGUAAACAUAUCAGUAAUUACCAGGAUGCUCUACAACAUUUGUUUUAAAAUCACACCAAGAUUGUUUUAAAUUAUGAAAUGUUUGAAAACUGGCCUCGGGUUAUUGAGGGAUCUGAUUAAACCUCAUAAGGCAGUUUUAUCAUGUGGAGAUUUCAUUCAUGUCUCUCUUUAAAUAAACACUGUCUUUGGCAGGAGGAAAACCAAACUCNNNNNNNNNNUCCAUGUGUUGCCACUAUCAUGUAUCCUACCAUGACUAUAUCCAACCCACCUCCAUGUGUUGCCACUAUCAUGAAUCCUACCAUGACUAUAUCCAACCCACUUCCAUGUGUUGCCACUAUCAUGUAUCCUACCAUGACUAAAUCAACCCAACUCCAUGUGUUGCCACUAUCAUGUAUCCUACCAUGACUAUAUCAACCCAACUCCAUGUGUUGUCACUAUCAUGUAUCCUACCGUUACUAUAUCCAACCCUACUCCAUGUGUUGCCACUAUCAUGUAUCCUACCAUGACUAUAUCAACCCU